rnacentral:lncRNA from 1 species
GUGUGUCCAGAAGCUGAGACUGUGCAGGCAGGAGCCUCAGAGAGGGGGGAGGGAAUUGGGAGCUCUUGCCUGCUGGGAUUAAGAACACACUGGUUUGGCCUGUAUGUCUGACCAGCCAUAAAGAGAGUCAGUUUACGGCUGAGAUAGGAGAGUCUCAAAUCCAGGCAUUGCAGCCUCGAGAAAUGAUCAAUCCCAGAGACUCAGCUAAACCCCAAAGCUGCCCAGAAAUACUCUAACCUAGGGGCAGUAGCCUGGUUGUUCCAGGACACUGUGAAAACAAUUGAGGCCCUAAGAAAUGAAGGGUCAUGCCCGGUCACUUAGGAAAAGGAGGAAAACUAGAAGCCAAGGGUCUUCGUUGCCUGCCUGACAUCCUCUUCGGGGAGUGGUGAGUUCAGGGGAAGGAGGUUUUCAAUUGUCUGUCUCCUAGGAGUGACCCUCCCCCCCACUCCUAGAAGGGUGAUGGGGCAGAUACCUCUGGCCUGAAGGCUCUCAGCGUGUCCACUUGGCACUCAACUGUGUCCUCUCCCAUCCUUUUUCUCAGUUCCCUCAGCUUCAUCCUAGUAGCCUGUCUGCCUUCCCCUCCCCCACAUACAUCCCUUACUUCCCUUCUAAGAAUCCAAUCUGUUACCUCACAAAGCCUUGUUUGUUUGCUUUCUCUGCCGUGCUCCCUCUGGAUCCAAUGUCUUUCUCUGCUACCUGAUGGGCCCCAGCUUCCUCUCCAAUGCUGUUUACUGUUCCUACAUUGUCCCAGCCUAAUAUGCAGUCAGCCAGCUGUGGGGGACUCAGAAAGCUCAGGAUGACUCCCUCUCCUCUGCUGGCAGGAGCUGGCUGUCCAUUAAGUAGAAGGUUCCAGGGAAGAGGAGAACAGCUUGCCUGCAGGAAUCCUCCCUUGAUUCAGUGACCAUUCAGAAAAGGAUGGAAUCUUUGAGGUGGAAGAGCCCAUCUACUCAGACUUCCUAUCUCAUGCUGGAAUGACUUCUAUGACAUCUCUGACACAUGCUCAUCUAACUUCUGCUUGAACAUUUCCAGUGAUGGAGAACUCAUUAUUUCAAAGGGCAACUCAUUCAACUGUUGGACAGCUUUAAUUGUUAGAAAGUUCUUUAUUGUGAGGGGAAAAUCGCCUCACUUCAAUGCCCAUUCAUUAGUCCUGAUCCUAUUCCUUUGGAGCUACAUACAACAUCUACUCCCUCGUCAAAUGGCCCCUAAAUAUACCCUUUACAUACAGCAUUACAAGCCCCUUUCCCAAGUCUUCCCUUCUUCAGACUAAGUAUCCCUGGUUCUUACACUGGCCUGUCACUAUCCUAGUUGUCCUCUUUUGUAAUUCAAGUAUAUGCACAUUUAUUAAGCACCUACUGUGUUCCAGGUACUGUACUAGGUACUGGAGAUACAAAGACAAAGCAAAAAGAAUCUGCAUUCAAAGAGCUUAGAUUCUGAGGGUGGAGGGGAAUGUGAGAGGAUGAUAUGAUACAGAGAAAUAAGUACAAGAUAAUUUGAGAGAAAGAAGAAUCAGAGGGAUCAGAAAAGGCUUCCUAUAGGAGGUCAAGGAUGCUAAGAAUUCUUGGAGGUGGAGAUGAACAGGCAGGGAGUGCAUUCCAAGUAUGGAACAGAACCCUAGCAAAUGUAUAAAUGAAUAGGAAAUAGGAGGUUUGAUUCAGAGAAAAGCAGACAAGGUUUUUUGGGACAAAGUAUAUGAAAGGGAGUAAUAUGAAAUAUCUGGAAAGGUAGGCUAAAGGCAGACUGGGAAUAACUUUAUUUAUUUAUUUUUUGAUAGUAAUAAUGCCUUUCUAACUUUCUUUAAAGAUUUAGUUACCUCUUUAGAACCAUUGCUACCUAUGGGCAAGCCAUUUUAAAAAAUACAUAUGUUGUUUAUUUUUAUUUUUUCUCAAUCACAUAUAAACAAA